AGAGUUUGAUCAUGGCUCAGGAUGAACGCUGGCGGCGUGCCUAACACAUGCAAGUCGAACGGUCCUUCGGGACAGUGGCGCACGGGUGAGUAACACGUAGCUAACCUGCCUUCGAGAGGGGGAUAACGCCCCGAAAGGGGUGCUAAUACCGCGUACGCUCGCGCGAUGUAGAGGCGCGCGAGGAAAGGCGCAAGCCGCUCGAAGAGGGGGCUGCGGCCCAUCAGGUAGUUGGUAGGGUAAUGGCCUACCAAGCCAACGACGGGUAGGGGGUCUGAGAGGAUGGUCCCCCACACUGGGACUGGGACACGGCCCAGACUCCUACGGGAGGCAGCAGUGAGGGAUCUUGCACAAUGGGGGAAACCCUGAUGCAGCGACGCCGCGUGGGCGAAGAAGGCCUUCGGGUCGUAAAGCCCUUUUCUGGGUGACGAGGAAGGACGGUAGCCCAGGAAGAAGUCUCGGCUAACUACGUGCCAGCAGCCGCGGUAAAGCGUAGGAGGCAAGCGUUAUCCGGAGUUACUGGGCGUAAAGCGCGCGCAGGCGGUUAGGCAAGUUGGGUGUGAAAGCUCCCGGCUAAACCGGGAGAGUGCAUUCAAGACUGCCUGGCUAGAGGACGGUAGAGGGGCGCAGAAUUCGGGGUGUAGCGGUGAAAUGUGUAGAGAUCCCGAGGAAUACCAGUGGGGAAGCCGGCGCCCUGGGCCGAACCUGACGCUGAGGCGCGACAGCGUGGGGAGCGAACGGGAUUAGAGACCCCGGUAGUCCACGCCGUAACGAUGCAGACUGGGUGUUCACUUGCCUGCGGGCGAGGGAGUGCCGAAGCAAACGCGCUAAGUCUGCCGCCUGGGGAGUACGGUCGCAAGGCUAAAACUCAAAUGAAUUGACGG
rnacentral:rRNA from 1 species